AGUACACCAUCUGUGUCCUCCAUGCAGGAGAGUAUAACAUCUGACCCCACCCUGCUGGAGAGUACACCAUAUGUAUCCUCCGAGCAGAAGAG